GUGCCAGCCGCGGCGGUAAUACGUAGGGUGCGAGCGUUGUCCGGAAUUAUUGGGCGUAAAGAGCUCGUAGGCGGUGUGUCGCGUCGGCCGUGAAAACCUGGGGCUUAACUCUGGGCGUGCGGUCGAUACGGGCAUCACUGGAGUUCGGCAGGGGAGACUGGAAUUCCUGGUGUAGCGGUGAAAUGCGCAGAUAUCAGGAGGAACACCGGUGGCGAAGGCGGGUCUCUGGGCCGAUACUGACGCUGAGGAGCGAAAGCAUGGGUAGCGAACAGGAUUAGAUACCCUGGUAGUCCAUGCCGUAAACGUUGGGCGCUAGGUGUGGGGUCCAGUUCCACGGGUUCCGU
rnacentral:rRNA from 1 species